UUGAAGAGAAGUAGGCUGUGGGGCGGAUUUUCUUGACGCACCCGGAGUUUUGGUCCAACACAUUCAACCCUUUUCGAAUGCACUUUAGUGAAUGAACCGGACGGGUUGGUGCAUAAGUAAAAGGGCUACUCUUUGUAGGAAUGUUCCUGGAACAGCGUGUGCGUGUGGUGUUGUCUAAAGCAGGUCGAUCAAGUGUCGAUCAGAAGUGGUUAAAGAGAAAUGAUCAGCGUUUUUUCUUCUUUAAUGAAAUCUUUCAUUCAUUUCAACAGGGUUUCUUCCUUUGAUGUCAUUGGAUGACGGCAACUUGUCUCGAGUCGAACCGCCACGAAAGCCUUAAAUUUGUAAUGAAAUUCUAGUGAAUUCACGUUACCAAGAUUCGCGGGAGUAUGACGAUAUUGUAAUGCACAGAAAUUAUAUUUUUUAUUUAAUUUAAAAUCCA